AGGCUUAAGAUCUUUCGAGGAUAAUUGCGUCAUUGAAUCUGAAGGUAUAUGAUUGGUUUCUCAACUCAUGUAUCGAUAAGCAUUUUUUCAUCCUCAAUAUAUUGUUACUUACCUGACUUGUCGUACAUUUGUGAGGUUUCUGAGGAAGUUCACUUCUUGCACGCGGCGUAUAACUUGAGUUGCCUACAAAUGAUUUUGCCAGUUCGACGAAAACUUAGAAUAACCAAGGGA
rnacentral:rRNA from 1 species